ensembl:misc_RNA Metazoa_SRP Metazoan signal recognition particle RNA
GCCGGGCGCGGUGGCUCACGCCUGUAAUCCCAGCAUUUUGGGAGGCUGAGGCGGGCGGAUCACCUGAGGUCAGGAGUUCAAGACCAGCCUGACUAACAUGGUGAAACCCUGUCUCUA